rnacentral:rRNA from 1 species
GACGAACGCUGGCGGCGUGCCUAAUACAUGCAAGUAGAACGCACAGUUUAUACCGUAGCUUGCUACACCAUAGACUGUGAGUUGCGAACGGGUGAGUAACGCGUAGGUAACCUGCCUGGUAGCGGGGGAUAACUAUUGGAAACGAUAGCUAAUACCGCAUAAUAUUGAUUAUUGCAUGAUAAUUGAUUGAAAGAUGCUAUUGCAUCACUACCAGAUGGACCUGCGUUGUAUUAGCUAGUAGGUGAGGUAACGGCUCACCUAGGCGACGAUACAUAGCCGACCUGAGAGGGGGAUCGGCCACACUGGGACUGAGACAAGGCCCAGACGCCUACGGGAGGCAGCAGUAGGGAAUCUUCGGCAAUGGACGAAAGUCUGACCGAGCAACGCCGCGUGAGUGAAGAAGGUUGUCGGAUCGUAAAGCUCUGUUGUAAGAGAAGAACGGGUGUGAGAGUGGAAAGUUCACACUGUGACGGUAUCUUACCAGAAAGGGACGGCUAACUACGUG